CAUCGCCUACGGGGGGCAGCAGUGGGGAAUAUUGGGCAACGGGCGCAAGCCUGACCCAGCAAUGCCGCGUGAAGGAAGAAGGUUUUCGGAUUGUAAACUUCUUUUGUACGGGACGAAGAAGGUGACGGUACCGUAAGAAUAAGCCACGGCUAACUACGUGCCAGCAGCCGCGGUAAUACGUAGGUGGCAAGCGUUAUCCGGAUUUACUGGGUGUAAAGGGCGAGUAGGCGGGAUUGCAAGUCAGAUGUGAAAACUAUGGGCUCAACCGAUAGAGUGCAUUUGAAACUGCAGUUCUUGAGUGAUGG
rnacentral:rRNA from 1 species